rnacentral:rRNA from 1 species
GAUGAACGCUGACAGAAUGCUUAACACAUGCAAGUCGAUUCGAUUUACCUUCGGGUAUUGAGGAUGGCGGACGGGUGAGUAACGCGUAAGGAACUUGCCUCUUGGUCUGGGACAACUGUUGGAAACGACAGCUAAUACCGGAUAUUAUGAGAUUCUCGCAUGGGAAACUUAUGAAAGCUAUAUGCGCCAAGAGAGAGCCUUGCGUUCCAUUAGCUAGUUGGUGGGGUAACGGCCCACCAAGGCGACGAUGGAUAGCCGGCCUGAGAGGGUGAACGGCCACAAGGGGACUGAGACACGGCCCUUACUCCUACGGGAGGCAGCAGUGGGGAAUAUUGGACAAUGGGCCACAAGCCUGAUCCAGCAAUUCUGUGUGCACGAUGAAGGUCUUCGGAUUGUAAAGUGCUUUCAGUUGGGAAGAAGAAAGUGACGGUACCAACAGAAGAAGCGACGGCUAAAUACGUGCCAGCAGCCGCGGUAAUACGUAUGUCGCAAGCGUUAUCCGGAUUUAUUGGGCGUAAAGCGCGUCUAGGCGGAAAAAUAAGUCUGAUGUUAAAAUGCGGGGCUCAACUCCGUAUUGCGUUGGAAACUGUUUUUCUAGAGUACUGGAGAGGUGGGCGGAACUACAAGUGUAGAGGUGAAAUUCGUAGAUAUUUGUAGGAAUGCCGAUGGAGAAGUCAGCUCACUGGACAGAUACUGACGCUAAAGCGCGAAAGCNUGGGGAGCAAACAGG